AAAACAAAAUUUCUCACUCUUAACUGACCCAUGCCCAUUAAGUCCCACAGUUAUGGCAGGCCCUACAGAACUGCACCCCCACUUGUUCUUGUACAGCGCAAAGCAGUUUUCCAGGUGCACUAGGAAAUGGGAGAAAAGGCAGAGAUUUGGGGAAGAGAACCAGUGUCUCCUUGCCAGAAACCCCCAAGGCCUGGGUUGUGAGUGAGUCCCCUUCUGCACAGGACAGAGGGCUGCAGCACCAGGUCUCCCCAUGGAGCCGCUGGCAGGCAGAGGGGCUCAGGCUGUGUAGCCGUGUAAACGGAACAACAGUUCAGGAGCUGAUUUACAAUUAUCAAGCACAUGCAAGGAGAAUGAGCUAAAAAGUUCUCAGAAAGGCUGAUGAUGCUUUCUGGUGCCAUGGGAGCUGUCAGUCAAUGGGCUAAAGCUGGCUGGAGUCAAGGUCCAGUAGGGUUUUGCAGGGAGGAUGCUGCCCCUGAGUUACAAGUGAAAAUAAUGUGUGGCAAAGUGUCUUAGUAUCUGUAACUGAAAGUGCAGGCUCUGCACAUGAAAAAGACGCAGCAGGGGCUGAGGCAGGGCCUGGCUGGUCAGAGUGUCUGUCUGUGGGCAAGGCUCAGGCGGCUGAAGAAAGCCCACAGGACAGGUCCCAGCUGCACAUCAAGCCUCUGUCCCACUGUCCCCAGCUCACAGCAAAGCAGCCACCUGAAGCCGACGCUGCUCCCCUAAAGCAGCUCCCCAAAAGAUGCUGUGGCAGGUGCCAUGGGCAAGGCUGUCUCCUCCUGGCACUGCCGUCCUGCUGCUGGUGAUCUGUGCUGGUGUCAUCGCCCAGGACAUCUGCAGAUCCCCAGGUGACCUCCCGGCUCCAGCCCUCUUCCUGAACACCUCCAGCAAUCAGGAGGGGGAAUUGGUUUCACUUCGCUGCACCAUUGAUGGCCCUUCAGUGCCUUCCCGGAUUGUAUUCUGCAAGGAUAGGAUGGAGGCCCACAGCCUGAAAUGGCAACCAUGGAAAUUGAGCUACACCAUAACUCUAAAGGUCACCCAGGAGAGCGAGGGGACAUACACAUGUGGAUACCAGGUCAACGAUGGCAGCAACCGAGUAAGAAGCUCUGCCCUCAGUGCUGGCCGCAUCCUGGAUGUCCCUGGCACUGUGGCAGGUUCCCCGACAUGGUCAUCACCCCCAGGUGAGUGAUUCCAUCCUGCACACCCAGGGACACCAGUAUGAAGUUCAGGGCUGCCAGGCUCUCCAGACAUCCAGGGCGUGCUGACUUGCAGUCCCCUUGGCAUUGGGACAAACAGGAGCUUUACCAGACAGGAGGUGUGCCGGCUGCACAGGCACAUCCUGCUCCCUGCCUCUCCCCAUCACACCCCGCUGCCCUCACACAGUCUCUCCCCCAGCUCCCCAUGCCCGGAUCCCACACGCCCUCCCCACAGGCACGGUGCUGGCAGUGGCGGCCAUCGGCCUCGUCCUCCUGGCUGCAGGCAGCUGGUUUGCCAUCAGGAAAGGUGCCUGCAGAGGGAGAUGCCCAAGGUGAGCUCCAAGGACUGCUGGCUGUUGGGGUGUGCAGCAGGGAGUUGGGCGCAUGGCAGGGCCAUGCAGUGCUCUUCUUCUCAGCACACAUGCACCUCAGAACCAGGGGGUUUGUGGAAGUGUUGCUAAGGACCUUCAGCACCUUUUCUCUGUCAUCUCUCUAUGCCUCUCUAUGUUGCUGGUAGUGCUGAGGACUCUUCUUCUGACCCCAGACGUUUCUGUAAGUGCCAGUCCCUUCUUCACCCUUCUCUAGGCACUGUGUGAAGUGCUGAUGCCUUUGUCACAGCAAGCCGUGGCCAUGGGAGCAACUGUGGUGAGGGGUGGGGAAGCCCUACCUGCUGUGUGUGGCUGGACACUAACUCAGGUUCUCUCCUCCAGAUGCCAACAUGGAUGAGAUGGGCAGAGUGAAGGUGAGUUCAGCCCAAGGACAGCCUUCCACACUGAGCGUGCACGUGAUGGCUGCAAGAGGGCAGGCUGUUGGAGAGCAAAUGGAAGCCAAAAGUGCAUCCAAAUGCAGGAACCUGGGAGCUUCGCAUGGCUGUGCUCUGGCUGAAUCCCCCUCCUUCCAUGCUCCCAGCAUUGCCCCAUGGUGGGCACCGCCAGAUCAAGUCUACUGCUUCUUCUCCCUUGUGUUUUGCAGCUCUCUCAAUCCAACUGCUCUCAACACCCUCUGCAUGCCAAAAGCUGAGCAAAUGAGAGGCGAUGCAGCUGGUUCUCUGAGAGAGGCAGAGAGCACUGGGGAAAGCCCGGCCGACCUUUCAGCUCUCAAUAAAGCCAUCCCA